GGGAACCUCAACAAACAACCCCAGCCAUGGAGGCGGCGGUGUCUUUGAAGACCCCAUGAGAGCAUCAAACAAGGGAGAGAGGUGGUGUCUUUGGUGGCUGUUCACCCUUCCACAGUAAACAUGCUUGGGAAGCAACUUUGCCAAAAGCCUUCGGACAGUCCAGCGUCAACACCGCAAGCCAAGUGAAGGAGGAGAAAAAUCUGCGCCUCUUUCUCUCAAGGGAUACUUUGUCUCUGGGGUACUUUCUGACCCAGUGGACCCCUGGCAGAAGUAAGCGUGGACUGUGGCUGCAGGACCACGCAGAGUCAACACGAACCGAAGCCAGGCCUUGGCCACGGCAGCUCUGGGGUCCAACCACUUGAUCAAUGCAGGAAAUGCUUUGAUGGCAGAAUUCUUCCAUGGCCAGCUUCUCAUAUUCUCUGGGACAGACACAAACCAAGAAAAAUGAGUGUGGCGCAGAAUCUGAUGUGUCCUUCCUUACCCCGUGCUGGUAGCAAAAAGUAUGUCUUGAACUUUUCUUUGUUACACACAGUCUGGGUAAUAACAGACUGAAGGAAAACUAAAGAAGCUUGGGAGGCUAAGUUCAAUGACAAAUGAAGAACUAAGGCAGAGAAAAAAGAGAAUUGAGAAAGUGUCUGGGUGUCUGGAGAGGUUGGGGGAAUAGAGAGGGAGGAGAUAUAAUUGGCCAGAUAACUUGAGAGUGGGAGAGGAGUGCAAACAUUAUUUUUGAGGCGCUUUGUUGGAUAUUUAAAAUGCACUCCUACCUUUGGCAUUUUCUCAAAAGGCAAGAAAGAUUUGUUUUCAAUUCUAUUUUUCUGCUGGACUGAACCAGUGCCAAGACUGGACCAUGUAGGAUCCUGGGUUUAUUUCAGUUACAUAAGCAAACGUUGCUGUGAUUUGGAAUAGUCAAAGUCAUGAAUGUUUCUCAACUUCCAUUUUGUCAGCUGCUUGAGUUUCUAUUCUGAGAGGUGCUAACUGUGAACAUUGUUAUUCACUUGUGUUCCCUAAAUCACUUUUAAUUAGUUUUAAUUUGAACCAAGAAUGUUCUACUGUUGAAACUAUGUCAAGAAUGAUCAAAAAUGAAAUUAAUAAAGAAUUCGCGUCAAAAAAAAUUUGCACU
rnacentral:lncRNA from 10 species